UUUGACUCCCUGUAGCGCGAUCGAUCGUU
rnacentral:sRNA from 1 species